rnacentral:rRNA from 1 species
UACGUAGGGGGCUAGCGUUGUCCGGAAUCAUUGGGCGUAAAGCGCGCGUAGGCGGUCAGGUAAGUCCGGUGUGAAAGUCAAAGGCUCAACCUUUGAAUGCCGCUGGAUACUGCCUGACUUGAGUCCGGAAGGGGCGAGUGGAAUUCCAGGUGUAGCGGUGAAAUGCGUAGAUAUCUGGAGGAACACCGGUGGCGAAGGCGGCAUCCUGGACCGACACUGACGCUGAGGCGCGAAAGCUAGGGUAGCAAACGGG